GUAUUACAAGUAAAUACAAUCGCAAACGAUGUAACAUACAACGAGGCAGCUGACCUAGAAAUAGCGAAAGCCGCUUAAUCUCGUUGCCGCGAACUGAAUCUGCUUAUGGGUUUGGGGAACGGUAAUUUUCAUAAGAUAAUUGUUUAAGGUGCUCUGACUUAAACACCGAAAAUAAAUUAGAGCUUCGUCCAGUGAGGGCCCGCUUGUCGGCGGCGCUGGGUUAAAUAAAGGCAAGACUAAGCAUGUAGAAGCAAAGGCGUAGAGUUUGCGGACGCGGGUUCAACUCCCGCCGCCUCCACCA
rnacentral:tmRNA from 1 species